UACGUAGGGGGCGAGCGUUGUCCGGAAUCACUGGGCGUAAAGGGCGCGUAGGCGGCGCGGGUAGUCAUCGGUGAAAGUUCAGGGCUCAACUCUGAAUCGGCCGGUGAUACUCUCGUGCUUGAGCACUGUAGAGGCAGGUGGAAUUCCGGGUGUAGCGGUGGAAUGCGUAGAGAGUCCGGAAGAACACCCGGUGGCGAAGGCGGCCUGCUGGGCAGUAGCUGACGCUGAUGCGCGACAGCGUGGGGAGCAAACAGG
rnacentral:rRNA from 1 species